AGCGAACGCUGGCGGCAGGCUUAACACAUGCAAGUCGAGCGCCCGUAGCAAUACGGGAGCGGCAGACGGGAGAGUAACACGUGGGAACAUGCCCUUCGGUUCGGAAUAACUACAGGGAAACGUUAGAGCUAAUACCGGAUACGUCCGUAAGGAGAAAGAUUUAUCGCCGAAGGAUUGGCCCGCGUCCGAUUAGCUUGUUGGUGAGGUAAUGGCUCACCAAGGCGACGAUCGGUAGCUGGCUGAGAGGAUGAUCAGCCUCCACUGGGACGUGAGACACGGCCCACGACU
rnacentral:rRNA from 1 species